CAGCUGAGGGGGGGCUGCGGUGGAGGCUGCUCUGAGGACGGCUAACGGCGGGGAAGACGCCUGAAGGGGUCGCUUAGGGGUUAGGGGCGUAAUAGGUUUAGAGAGCGCUCUGCAGACUCGGUUGUGGCCCCAGGAUGCACAGAACUCCUGAGGGGGACAUCGGAUGACGGUGCGGGCGAACAAAUAGCCAGGAGGAAGAAGUGCAGCCCGGCUGGGCAGGGUGGGGAAGAUGGAAAAAGAUUAGAGUGAGGAAUUCGACUAGAUAGGAAUCUUGACUGACUGAUGAAAGAAGAAAAGGGAGGGUGGAAGAGGGCUAGGGGAUGGAGAGCCGAGGCGGAUACCGCCGGGUCCCGUAACUAAGCUAGGUUUGGGGAGUCAGUGUGGAAUGGGAGGGCAGGAAGGUAGGGCUUCUUGCCAAUCAGGUCUCCCUGGGAUGAUGGACUCAAGCGAAGCCUCGGACUAGAGGCCAGAUAGACUCCGGGAAAGAGUGGCAGUAAGCUCAUAGAGGCAGAAAUAGAAAGGGAGUCCCCUGGAGACUGAAUACUUCCCUGACUUGUCUAAGGUUAACACCUGGAGGAGAGAGAUGUUUUAUGCUUAAGUUUUCUCAGGUACCACAUGCUGCGUCUCCCCGUACAGCCUGGCUCUGCACUGGAAUGGGUGGAUUAUCCGACGAGGCUCUCAUCCCGUGCUGAUCUUUUAGAUUUGAAAUAUCCAGAGUGUUUACUUCCAUAUUUAUCGCCUCUCAUUUGGGUUCUGUGUAUAUGAAUGGCUGUUUGCCUUUUCUGUCCUACAUUAACCUUUUGGAUUUCUACCCUGGUCUGUAGUUACCUUAAUGCAUAACAUUUCAGAACAGACUGCCCCAGGAGUGGCUUUUUCCAGUGUACACCACAGAGGACUUUAUUCUGUAGUGCUUAGUCCAGAGGGCUACAAAGCUAGAAUAUUCCUUAUGGAUAGCAUCUGCUUAAACAGCGUUGAAGACCUAAAAGAGUGUAUGAAUUGAAUGAGAAAGUGUGGUCUCCUUCGUGGACUUUGAAAUCUCAUUGACGGAUUAUCUAUCUCCAAAAGAAAGAACGAAUAGCAAAA